rnacentral:rRNA from 1 species
CCUACGGGAGGCAGCAGUGAGGAAUAUUGGUCAAUGGCCGGAAGGCUGAACCAGCCAUGCCGCGUGAAGGUCAGUGCCCUAUGGGCGUUAAACUUCUUUUGUGCGGGAGCAAUAAUGGUCACGUGUGGCCAGACGAGAGUACCGUACGAAUAAGCAUCGGCUAAAACCGGGCCAGCAGCCGCGGUAAUACGGGGGAUGCAAGCCUUUUCCGGAUUUAUUGGGUUUAAAGGGUGCGUAGGCUGGAAGGUAAGUCAGCGGUGAAAUGCCCCCGCUCAACGGGGUGAAGUGCAAUUGAUACUGGCUUGCUUGAAUGCGGAUGCCGUGGGAGGAAUGUGUGGUGUAGCGGUGAAAUGCAUAGAUAUCACACAGAACACCGAUUGCGAAGGCAUCUCACGAAUCCGCGAUUGACGCUGAUGCACGAAAGCGUGGGUAUCAAACAGGAUUAGAUACCCCAGUAGUC